rnacentral:misc_RNA from 1 species
GAAAUGCGAUAAUUAAUGUGAAUUGCAGAAUUCAGUGAAUCAUCAAGUCUUUGAACGCACAUUGCGCCCCCUGGUAUUCCGGGGGGCAUGCCUGUCCGAGCGUCAUUGCUGCCCUCAAGCACGGCUUGUGUGUUGGGCUUCCGUCCCUGGCAACGGGGACGGGCCCAAAAGGCAGUGGCGGCACCAUGUCUGGUCCUCGAGCGUAUGGGGCUUUGUCACCCGCUCCCGUAGGUCCAGCUGGCAGCUAGCCUCGCAACCAAUCUUUUUAACCAGGUUGACCUCGGAUCAGGUAGGGAUACCCGCUGAACUUAAGC